UAGUGAUAGCUGGUUGUUCAGGAAAAGAGUUUAAGCUCUACCUUAAGUUUUACCGUUACCCCAAACACAACCUUAAACUUAAGAGCUAUUCAAAUAAGGCACAGCUUAUUUGAAGCAGGGUACAACCUCAGACACCGGGUAAAUAUGGGUGCACCAAGUAAAGUGGGCCUAAAAGCAGCCACCUUCUAAAAAGCGUUAAAGCUUAACCACACUUCCCUUAAUUCCUUAAAUUUUUUUAACCCUUAAUCACUACUGAACUGUUUUAUAUUAAUAUAAAAGUCAUUAUGCUAGAACUAGUAAUAAGAAAUCGCCUUUCUCCUAAAUGCAAGCAUAAACCAAAAUGGACCUACCAUUGGUAGUUAACGUAAAUGUCUCUAUUAUAGCAACACUAACUAGAAAACCCUAUAAUACUAACGUUAGCCUAACACCAGCGCAUUUCAGGAAAGAUUAAAAGAGAAAGAAGGAACUCGGCAAACCUUAGCCCCGCCUGUUUACCAAAAACAUCGCCUCUUGAUUAAACAUAAGAGGUCCAGCCUGCCCAGUGACAUAGUUUAACGGCCGCGGUACCCUAACCGUGCGAAGGUAGCAUAAUGACUUGUUCUUUAAAUAGGGACUCGUAUCAACGGCAUCACGAGGGCUAUACUUCUCCUUUCUCCAAUCAAUGAAACUGAUCUCCCCGUGAAGAAGCGGGGAUUAACCUAUAAGACGAGAAGACCCCAUGGAGCUUCAAACUCAACAUAUACCUCCGCACUUAACCACUUUACCCAAGAGACCUCUAUGUUAGUUUUGGGUUGGGGGGACCGCGGAGUAAAAAUUAACCUCCACGACAAAUGGGCUUUUGCCCUUAUCCACGAACCACAGCUCUAAGAAUCAAUAAACUGAUGUUUAUGACCCGAUUAUUCGAUCAACGAACCAAGUUACCCUGGGGAUAACAGCGCAAUCUACUUCAAGAGCCCUAUCGACAAGUAGGUUUACGACCUCGAUGUUGGAUCAGGGUAUCCUAGUGGUGCAGCCGCUACUAAUGGUUCGUUUGUUCAACGAUUAAAACCCU
rnacentral:rRNA from 1 species